GUUCGUUCUUCUGGUGUGAUGGCCGCCGCCAAGGCAGGAGUUGGGGUAUUCUGUCAUUCCGGACGGCUUAGGGGGCUCUCUGUAUCGUCAGAAGGCCACCGACAGACCCCAGAAAGUGGAACGCUGUUUCCUAAAUAGAUCAUUUGUACCUGUUUCUGGUGAUUAUUUGUGAUGGAAAGCAUGCUGGAAACUUUGAAAGAGAAAAACAAGUAUGCGGUGUGUGUGAUUACAGGGCUAUAUGACUUUCAAACAAAAGCACAUUAGCCAUAUCAACAAUUGCAAAGAGACCAUUAAAAAAAAAGACAUUAAUAAGGCAGAAAGUUGGGAAUAUCUGAUGGACUGAACACCUUCUCAACUGAACUUAAAGGAGAGAUUAAGUACAAUGUUUUGAGCUAUGUUUAAAUGAAGAUGAGCUAGGAGAAGACAGAACUGUUAAAAAUACAUAAGUUUUAUUAUGUAGCCAAAUGAAGGAUUCGGCUCUUUUGUAACGGUAUUCUUAAAAAUUCCUAGCUUCUAUGAAAUUCCCUAGUUAUGGAAUUUUCUUUCAUUAUAUUGAGCUACUCCUGAUUCCAUCAUGAAAAUCUGAUCUGAAACUCAAUUUACAGAAAUACUGAAAAUGAAUUUGAAAUUAAAUGAGACCAUCUGUAUGCUAAUAUGAUGCAAUAUUGUUGAUUCACAUUUUUCCAUAUUAAAGACUGUUCUGAACUCUAAAUCUUUUAAAUAAAUGAGACCGAAAUUUAA